GACGAACGCUGGCGGCGUGCCUAAUACAUGCAAGUAGAACGCUGAAGGAGGAGCUUGCUUCUCUGGAUGAGUUGCGAACGGGUGAGUAACGCGUAGGUAACCUGCCUGGUAGCGGGGGAUAACUAUUGGAAACGAUAGCUAAUACCGCAUAAUAGUAGAUGUUGCAUGACAUUUGCUUAAAAGGUGCAAUUGCAUCACUACCAGAUGGACCUGCGUUGUAUUAGCUAGUUGGGGAGGUAACGGCUCACCAAGGCAACGAUACAUAGCCGACCCGAGAGGGGGAUCGGCCCCCCUGGGACUGGGACACGGCCCAGACUCCUACGGGAGGCAGCAGUAGGGAAUCUUCGGCAAUGGACGGAAGUCUGACCGAGCAACGCCGCGUGAGUGAAGAAGGUUUUCGGAUCGUAAAGCUCUGUUGUAAGAGAAGAACGAGUGUGAGAGUGGAAAGUUCACACUGUGACGGUAUCUUACCAGAAAGGGACGGCUAACUACGUG
rnacentral:rRNA from 1 species